ACUGCCUCUCUGGGCCUUCAUUUUUUUUUUUUUUUUUUUGGUUUUUUGGGCCUUCAUUUUUAACGUUUGCCUGUGGAGUUUUCUGAUCAUUUCAGACUAGUCCUGGAGAUUUGUCUCUGAGGGAACAUGGGUGGCUGGUGGGGUGAGACUGGGGACUAACUGCCUAGGGGGGUCUCAGAGUCUUGAGGGUGAUUCUACACCUUUGGAAAACUACUAGGGAAGGACCUGUCUGAUGGUAUUGGGGGAGACAGACCCUGGAUGAUGGGGCAAGGGACUUGAGGGCCUCGUUUGAAUGAGAUGCUAAAAAAGACCCAUGUCUGGAGGGAUUACUUUGAACUGUGGUGUUCAGUGUUUGGAGUCACAGUGUUGGCUGAGAAAUGUCCUUCACGGCCACGUCGGUGGCAGCAUUCCUGCAGCGGCAGCCUGCACAGGCACGGAGAGUGGGUAGAGCACUUUCUUUAGAUUUGCGAGGAAAGUUCUGCACUUAAUUGCUUAAAACUUUGUUGUUGGGAAGAGAACUGUCUGAGUGAAUCAAGCAAGGAAGGCAGCUAGCCUUGGUCUUAGAGAUAGGCAGCGGGCUCAUCUCAGAAAGACAGCUGCUACCUAAAGGAGUAUGGGGAGCCUACAGACAGAAGUCCAGCAUUCCAAAAAAAAAGUGCUUAUGGAAUAUUAGAAGGUAUUAUUAUUUCUAUCCUUAACAUGGUUCCUGAGAAAAAUAGCUAGAACACUGUGACUCAAAAAUGGGAGAGAUUUUUCAAGUAUUCAUUUUUUUCAAAUGUCCAAGUAUCAAAAAUUCUAGUCACUUAAUUUGAAGUCAUUUUCGUCUAGAAUUGGCAUUUCUGAAAGUUCCACUGAGGGAUGGCGACUCGGAUCUUUCACACCCUAUUCAGAACUGAUUUUUUAAUAACAACAAAUUAAUUUUAAAGUAUUUUUAAGUGAAUUGGGCAAAGCUGAGAUGGAGUCAAAAGAUGGCUGACCAGGACCAGGACACCUGCUGCAGCUGGCAGGAAGCAGGUCAUGUGGCAAGGCUAUUUUGGGAAGGAAAAAUAAAGCCCCGAGGUAAAUUUCUAGCUGUGGUUUGAAGAGGUAGUUUCGAAAUGUUUUGCCCAGCCCCAUAGAACUGAAAGUCCAGACUGAGCAAAACAACACCUGGGUAAUUUGCAUUUCUAAAAUAAGUUGAGGAUUCAGCCGAAACUGGAAACAUCCUCUUUUAGCCUAAGGCCAAGCUUUCAGUUUUAACUUGGGAAGUUCUAGUUUCCAAAGACUUAAUUUUAUCUACUUCUAAAAUGUAUUCCUUCUCAAACAUAGACUAAGUGACAGACUCAGUCUAUUUAAUUUCUAAUGUAUUUAAUUUCUAAUGUAGUUAGAAAACUUUUCAAAAUUACUUGAUUAUUCCUCCCUCUGAUGAUUGAUUUCAACUCAGCUCUUUUCCCAACACCCAAAACGUUUACAGUGACUUUGCUCAUGAUUUUUUAAGCUAGUUGUUUUGCUUUUAUGAUUAAGAAAGACUUUGACUUCAUGAUAAAGACGGCUCUCUUGGCUCCCUACGUCUUUCUCAAGACUGCUUUCUAAGUAUUCAUUUUAAGAAAAAGCUUUUUUUUUAAUGAAUGCAAUUAUCUAGAAUUAUUUCAGUUGGACAUGCAGUUGAUGGCUGAGAAGACACUCAGUCAGAUAGUGAUAAAGAAAGGAAGCAUCUAAGCCAGGGACAUGUUCUGUUUGAACCCCCACUGGCCCUGCCCCAAAGAUCUGAGACCCUGUUGGUGCUGGGCAGACCCGGACUUUGGGUCUCCCGGGUUCAUCCAGACCUGGGAAUGUACAGUUGUGGUGGCUUCUGCCACCCAUCCACCUGGCUGCUUGUGGACCAGCCAGUCUUGAUGGCCUUGAAGUUCCACUCAAAGACCCCGGACCUCCCUGAAACCAGGCACCCCAAACGCCUCUGAAGAGGAACCUCAAGUGCUGCUCCUCAUCUCAGAGUGCACGGCCCCUACCAGAAACAAGUCGGUGGACCUGAUCUGCUCGGUAUUAGGAGAAAAGCCGUUGGAAAUCACCAUUGAAUCAAAAGCAAAGCACAAGACGGAGAGGACCUUCGACUUCAGGCUUAGCAGUGGCAAACAUAUGGUGAUUCGACAGCUCUCUACGUGGACCUCAGAACUGGGUGGUAACCCCAUUUGCACCAUGAGAGGCCAGUUCAACAAGAACAUUACGAAGACUUUACGAUUGCCUGCUUCUUCCAUUACAGAGGAACAGAAUGCUCAGUCCUCCCAGAAAACCACUCCACCUCCCCAAGCAGAGGAGCCCUUCCCAGAGGCCACCAAAGCUGCUGACCUCCAAACGGACACAGUAGAGGCCAUUGCACCCAGAAACCUCUCUGUGAACUUCCUGGUCACGCCAACCCAUCCUGAGAUGUCAUCAUGGCUCCUGUGUGAAGUUUCUGGCUUCUUUCCCCACCAUAUCCACCUAACAUGGAGGUCCCAAAGUGAGAUAAACCCUUCGUACUUUGCCACUGCACAACCCAUCCCACAGCCUGGGGGCAACACAUACCAGACCUGGAGUGUCUUGAGAACACCGGUCACUCUGAAGUCUUCACCUGACACUUACACUUGUGUGGUGGAACAUGGAGCCUCACGGACCAAGCUUAAUGCCAGCAAAAGCCUGGACGUGAGCGGCACGGUCAACACCAUCCCCAACGUGUGCUUCAGAGACGAGCAAAACGACAGCUACGUGGACCUAGAGGACAACGGCCUGUGGCCCACACUGUGCACCUUUGUGGCUCUCUUCCUGCUCACAUUGCUCUACAGCGGCUUCAUCACCUUCAUGAAGGUGAAGUAGACCAGGACUGCAACUACAAAAAAAAAGUGCUUUCCCUCAAUGUGAAGCCCACAGAGAGGAUGUCUUCUAUGCGGAGAGAAGCUCCAAGCCCUCUUCCCGACCCCCUGUUCUCUAUCCAGCCUCCCAGACACAAAAUGGCCGGCAUCUUUGGCUGUAGGCAAAGCAGGCGACUUGCUGCACUAGCCCGGCUCCUCACUGUGCCCUGCCUUCCACCAAGCCCCCAUCCUCCCAUAAACACGCCAUGGUUCACUC